UACGUAGGCAGCAAGCGUUGUUCGGAGUUACUGGGCGUAAAGGGUGCGUAGGCGGCUUUUUAAGUUUGGUGUGAAAUCUCCCGGCUCAACUGGGAGGGUGCGCCGAAUACUGAGAGGCUAGAGUGUGGGAGAGGAAAGUGGAAUUCCUGGUGUAGCGGUGAAAUGCGUAGAUAUCGGAAGGAACACCUGUGGCGAAAGCGGCUCACUGGACCAUUACUGACGCUGAGGCACGAAAGCUAGGGGAGCAAACAGG
rnacentral:rRNA from 1 species